rnacentral:rRNA from 1 species
CCCUUAGAUGUUCUGGGCCGCACGCGCGCUACACUGUUUGAUUCAGCGAGUCUUAACCUUGACCGAAAGGUUUGGGUAAUCUUCUAAAGUCAAACGUGAUGGGGAUCGAUCGUUGCAAUUAUUGAUCGUGAACGAGGAAUUCCUAGUAAAUGCAAGUCAUCAGCUUGCGUUGAUUACGUCCCUGCCCUUUGUACACACCGCCCGUCGCUACUACCGAUUGAAUGGUUUAGUGAGAUCUCCGGAUUGGCUCUGUAGGUCCCGCAAGGGAUUUAUUAGUAGCCAAGAAGCUGCUCAAACUUGAUCAUUUAGAGGAAGUAAAAGUCGUAACA